rnacentral:tRNA from 1 species
UACCGUGAAGCUAAAUAGCAUCAACCUUUUAAGUUGAAGACUGAAAGCCCUAACCUUUCCACGGUGA